rnacentral:lncRNA from 1 species
ACCUCGCCACCUACACCGCUCUUCCUCUCGCCGCCCAGCUGCCGCUCCACCGGUGAACCACUUUGAAGACAAGAGCACUGCCGAUGAUAGUUUCUUACAAAUUGAUUCGGGUAUUGUCUUUCCAAUAUCUUCUCCAUCCAUUCUUUAUUAGAAUUUCUGAAAACAAUUGCAGGAAUUUGCUUUCAAUUAAUCCUUAAUUCUUAUUAUUCUUUGUUGUAGCUUGUUCAGUAUUAUGCGAUAAAUUGAUUUUGCAUCGUAUUAAUUAUGAAUCCAGCCCUGUGAUUUUGAUUACUCUGUCAUGACAUGAUUAAUUAUAAUCCCCAAAUCAAGUGAUACUUUCCCUCUUCAUGUGAUCUCAUGACAGUAUACCUAUGUGGUAAUUGUAGCAAUCUCCUUCUUUCAUUUCUUAAAGCUUGAUUCAUGAUAGAUAUGGUGACUUGAGACAGCCUCGGGUUUAGUAAUUGUUCAAGGUAAACUUUGAUGUUGGCACAUUUGAAUAAUUGCCUCCUUUUCCAUUGUUAACUGAUUUCCUCUCUUUAUUUAGACUGGAACUACUUUAGUACUCUUGGAUUUAUGAAAAGUUUGCCAAGGUCAAUUUGCUUUCCUUCUCUUCUGCUUCAUUUAACUUUGACAACCUCUAGCUUUGGUGUUUUUGGUAAAGAUCGAAUGAUUUUAUGCUCAGUUGAUUCAUAAUCUCUUAUUUGUUUCCUCCACGGAUAUCUUGAUGAAUUGACUCUUAUGAUAAGUUCGAACUUGUCGAAGUUUUUCUUUAUUCUUACAAUGAAUUCCGGCCUGAGUUUACUCAGCAGCUCCUUUGUACUUGGUCUUAUAUUUUGGAAAAUCUGAUUCGGUUGUCGAAGAUAAGGCUUUCCUAGAUUAGUGUUGUGAAUUAUUUUUGCAGUUUUCUCUUCUUGAUUGGUUACUACUUGUAUGCUAAAUAAACAGCUCCUCUCCUCUCUACUUGGCAAGGACUGAUCAAACGCUCUUUCUCUCCAAAAUGAAAUGAUAAAUCUCUUGAUCUCUCCUCCUCAUCUCUACAAUAAGUCUAAACACCGAAAGUUCCUUCCCUUUUGCUCAUUUUUCUCUCCUCUCUAUUUCUCAUAUUACUCUAAGGCUUUCAUAUUGUGGUGCUGUUGAAGCGGCUCGGUUUUGUCUCUCUUAUAAUUAAUUGCCAUAUCACUGGUUAGUUCUCUUAACAUUGCAUUUGAUACUUACGUGAUACCUUUGUAUAUCUUUAAUUUUGUAUCAGCGUUGUGGAUGGCGGUUGCCUCGUCAGCAAUGGCGAAAGGU